UACGUAGGGCGCAAGCGUUGUCCGGAAUUAUUGGGCGUAAAGAGCUCGUAGGCGGCCUGUUACGUCUGCUGUGAAAUCCCGGGGCUUAACCCCGGGCGUGCAGUGGAUACGGGCAGGCUGGAGGCAGGCAGGGGAGAACGGAAUUCCCGGUGUAGCGGUGAAAUGCGCAGAUAUCGGGAGGAACACCGGUGGCGAAGGCGGUUCUCUGGGCCUUACCUGACGCUGAGGAGCGAAAGUGUGGGGAGCGAACAGG
rnacentral:rRNA from 1 species